rnacentral:sRNA from 1 species
ACCUGAAAUGAUUAAAGGCUAUUCGACGCGAAAAAA